AUUGAACGCUGGCGGCAGGCCUAACACAUGCAAGUCGAACGGAGCGGCGGACGCGCGAGUAAUGCCUAGGAAUCUGCCUGGUCGCGGGGGAUAACGUCCGGCAACGGGCGCUAAUAUCGUAUACUAUCAGAUGAGCCUUUGUCGGGUUAGCUAGUUGGUGGGUUAAAGGCCUACCAAGGCGACGAUGCGCAACUGGUCUGAGAGGAUGAUCAGACGCACAGGAACGGAGACGCAGCCCAGAGUCCUACGGGAGGCAGCAGUGGGAAAUAUUGGACAAUGGGCGAAAGCCUGAACCAGCCAUGCCGCGGUAGUGAAGAAGGGCUUCGGAGUGUAAAGCACUUUAAGUUGAGAGGCGGUACCAACAGAAUAAGCACCGGCUAACUUCGUGCCAGCAGCCGCGGUAAUAC
rnacentral:rRNA from 1 species